AAAUUGAAGAGUUUGAUCAUGGCUCAGAUUGAACGCUGGCGGCAGGCCUAACACAUGCAAGUCGAACGGUAACAGGAGUCAGCUUGCUGAUUCGCUGACGAGUGGCGGACGGGUGAGUAAUGUCUGGGAAACUGCCUGAUGGAGGGGGAUAACUACUGGAAACGGUAGCUAAUACCGCAUAA
rnacentral:rRNA from 1 species